AUACUUACCUGGUGUCGGGCCGUCCGGUGAUCAGCAAGGCCGGGGUCCCGUGCCGAGGCCAACCAUUGCACUACGGUUGGCUGACGCACGCCACUUUCCCAAACAGGGAUAGAUGGGGCAUGUAAUUUUUGGUAGUGGGGCUUGGCGUUCGCGCCAGCCCCUG
rnacentral:snRNA from 1 species